AUUUUGCUUUAUCUUUAUGGUUGCCAUAACUUAAGUUUUCUUUCACUUCAAAGGGUUUUCUCUUAGUUUUGUCCAGACUUAGUGUCUGCAAUUGCUGCUAUAAUUUCUAAUAUGACAGUUCGUAAACUAAGUUUCACCUUAAACUACAAUGGGAGGUUAUACAAUAUAAAAAGUAAAAUUAAAUUAUUUAAUCUUCUCUGUCACAAAUGUCUGGGUUUAGAAUUGAUUAUAUUCCAUUAGCAUUUAGACAGUCUG